UAAAGGUAUCCCAUACAUGUUUGGUAUAUGCCUAAGGAUGGGGCUGCGGCCGAUCAGGCUGUUGGUGAGGUAAUGGCUCACCAAACCUUUGACCGGUACGGGCCAUGAGAGUGGUAGCCCGGAGAUGGACACUGAGACAAGGGUCCAGGCCCUACGGGGCGCAGCAGGCGCGAAACCUCCUCAAUGCACUUACGUGCGAAGGGGCUACCUCGAGUGCCACCUGAUGAAGGUGGCUUUUCCUAGGUCUAAAAAGCCUUGGGAAUAAGAGGGGGGCAAGACUGGUGUCAGCCGCCGCGGUAACACCAGCCCCUCGAGUGGUGGGGAUGAUUAUUGGGCCUAAAGCGUCCGUAGCCGGCCGGGUAAGUUUCCCGUUAAAUCCAGCGUCUCAAGCGUUGGACUGCGGGAAAUACUGCCUGGCUAGAGAGUGGGAGAGGUCAGCGGUAUUCUGGGGGUAGGGGCGAAAUCCUUUGAUCCCCGGAGGACCACCAGUGGCGAAGGCUGCUGACUAGAACACGUCUGACGGUCAGGGACGAAAGCUGGGGUAGCGAACCGGAUUAGAUACCCGGGUAGUCCCAGCCGUAAACGAUGCAUGCUAGGUGUUGGGUUGGCCACGAGCCACCCCAGUGCCGCAGGGAAGCCGUUAAGCAUGCCGCCUGGGAAGUACGAUCGCAAGGUUGAAACUUAAAGGAAUUGGCGGGGGAGCACCACCAGGCGUGAAGCCUGCGGUUUAAUUGGAUUCAACGCCGGA
rnacentral:rRNA from 1 species